GACGAACGCUGGCGGCGUGCUUAACACAUGCAAGUCGAACGCUGAAGCUUGGUGCUUGCACUGGGUGGAUGAGUGGCGAACGGGUGAGUAAUACGUGAGUAACCUGCCCUUGACUCUGGGAUAAGCCUGGGAAACUGGGUCUAAUACUGGAUACGACAUGUCACCGCAUGGUGGUGUGUGGAAAGGGUUUUACUGGUUUUGGAUGGGCUCACGGCCUAUCAGCUUGUUGGUGGGGUAAUGGCUCACCAAGGCGACGACGGGUAGCCGGCCUGAGAGGGUGACCGGCCACACUGGGACUGAGACACGGCCCAGACUCCUACGGGAGGCAGCAGUGGGGAAUAUUGCACAAUGGGCGGAAGCCUGAUGCAGCGACGCCGCGUGAGGGAUGACGGCCUUCGGGUUGUAAACCUCUUUCAGCACGGAAGAAGCGAAAGUGACGGUACAUGCAGAAGAAGCGCCGGCUAACUACGUG
rnacentral:rRNA from 1 species